GUCUCGGGUUAGAAAAUAAAAGAUAGUUUAAUUACUUGCUAUUUGCCUUUAUGAAGCAUGUUCGGCAGUGUUCAGUCAAACAAGCAGUGAAUUAUAACCUGGUUCCUACAUAAAAGCCCGGUUCUUCAAAAUAAUGUGGGCAUUUGUGAGUUUUAUUUCGCUUCGGUUUUGAGAGUGACAGACAGUCAUACAGAAAUGUGGAACUGGAAUAUGGACACCUUUGGUACCUUUAACUAACGCUCAUAAGAAAUGCUGCCACUUAAUGUUGACACGCCUCACAUUUCCCAGUGGGCUUUAAUACAAGUCUCGAUUAGGGCCUCAUGCACACAGAACAUGCUCAUUUUAAAGUUGGACGCUGCUUUGAGCUGGCAAAGUUCUCCACACCACAAAUAUGAUUUCCAUAUCAAGCCAUGUGCCCUUUGUUCCGCUCAAGCGUCUCGGUGGUGGAAACGUCCAGUCUGCCUCAAGGACAACUUUCCGACGUCUGCAACGCUUACUCUGCCCAGGGUGAGAAGUGGAGGCUCGCGCCAUCAAGUGUUCUGACAAUGUUGAGGUCUCUCAGAGCCGCUUCAGAGCUGCUGUCAGUCAUGUGUCCCAGACAGAGUACUACACGCCCCCUCCUCUUAGCGAGCAGGCGACUGUUUUAGAGGUUUGAUUUGAUCCUAAUUGAUCAUCCAGUAUCCAAAGCUUAUUUGUUUUAUUUGAUCUUAACAUCACAUCUAUGCCAUUCUCCCAAGUCCCUCACAUGCAUAUCUUGUGAACCCUAGUGUCCUGACCCCAAGAUUGGAAUACACUGGUUUAAUGUAGUGUAAACUAUACGUUUAACUACACAGUCACCUGGUGUAGAGGUAAUACCAAAGGGAAAAGAGGACCUCAGCUGUAGGCCUGCUGACUGACUCCACGUGAGUGGCAGUGAGUCUCCCCUUGCCACGUGAGAGUGAAGCUCCACCAGCUCUUCGUUCCCUGGUGGUUCUGCCAAGCCUGUUCCCUUGGAUGUGGUUUCUGGAUAGUAGACACAACCAACUGUGCCCCCACCCAACGUGAUCUAGAGCAGCAGCGGGGCCGAGGCCAGCAGGAGAGGGAGGGCUGGGGAGAGAUCCACGCUGCCAUGGCUCUGACCAACCUGGCCCAGGGCCAGCAUUUGUGUCUGUCCCCCAGCACCCCAGGACAGAGCUGCACCGGGGGACCUACCAGUAGCGCAAUUACCAAUAGUGUAGGCAAGGCCUGCACCCUGGGCCCUACUGGAGGCCCGUGGCAGAGCUGCACUGUGGGCUCCAUUAUCAGCGUGGGAAACACCCUCACCAGACGCAUCAUCCAGAAGUCUUCUCACAUCCUUGAAAUCCAGACGGUCAAGCUAGCCCUGGCUAACGGAGUGUAGCAGUUGGUUAGCUUGGCCCAUGCUAACAGCUUUAAGCUGUUGGUCAGGUUCGCCCUCGCUUAUAGCAUUUAGAUGUAUUGUCUCACGUCAAGGUUUAUCAUUUUAUGUACAGGCAGGAAUGGAAAACACUCCUUCUUGCGUCUUGAUUAAUAUUGUUAAUUUCUAUAACAUUAUUAAACUUUGAUAUCUUUAAAUUGUAAAAUGAAAUGUUCUGCAGUUUUAUUUUUCUUCCAUUUCUCUCUGAUAAUGUAAGUUAUAUUAACUUUUCACGAGACUGGAAUGUUAUCCAAUGAUAAACUUAUACUUAAAAGGUACAAUUGUAAUAAACAAAUUGUGAAAACAAUCUGCAUGGUUAGCCUUUAUGAUUCAUGAUCAUUAUGAUCCAGCCCCAUGUCAAUACCAUCUUACAGUAACAGCUUUUUUAAUUAAUCAGGGCACUAUGCUGCAGUCGUAAACGAAAACACAAAUACAUUAGUAAGCAUAUAAGGACUCUAGUUGUAGAUAGUUGACUCUUUCUUAAAACAUUUAGUUCUUU
ensembl:lncRNA